CAUAAAAUAAAAAAUGAAAACAUGCAGAGUGGAUGAGAGACAACAUUAUCCAGUAUCCACACAUGGCAUGGUAGCUUUCACCGUUUGUCUCUGAUUGCAAGCAAGGAAGAAAUGGCUCUAAGUCUCAACAUCCUCUCACUGUGUUCCACUUCCUCUUCAACUUCUAAACCUCAUAUCAGAACUCCCACUUGUCAUCUUGCUCCUUUCACACUCAGCUUCAAGCAACAACAAUCUUCUUCUCAGAAGCUGACAUUCUCAUUGGCUGAAUCUGUGUCUGGUGCCACCCUUGCUGCUCUCAUCUCUGCUUCCCUGUUCUUUGUUGACCCUGCACUUGCAUUCAAGGGUGGAGGUCCAUAUGGCCAAGAGGUCACAAGGGGACAAGAUCUCUCUGGCAAGGAUUUCAGUGGAAAGACCCUCAUCAAGCAAGACUUCAAAACGUCCAUAUUGAGACAAGCCAAUUUUAAAGGUGCAAAGUUGUUAGGUGCUAGCUUCUUCGAUGCUGAUUUAACAGGUGCUGACCUUUCAGAUGCUGAUCUUAGAAGUGCAGAUUUUUCAUUGGCAAAUGUCACAAAGGCAAAUUUAAGCAAUGCUAACCUGGAAGGUGCACUUGCAACAGGAAAUACAUCUUUUAAAGGAUCAAAUAUUACCGGAGCAGAUUUUACUGAUGUGCCGCUAAGAGACGAUCAACGCGAAUAUCUCUGCAAAGUUGCAGAUGGAGUGAACCCAACAACUGGAAAUGCUACGCGAGAUACAUUGCUGUGCAAUUAGUAUUCCAUUGCUGCGGAGUGAGGAGUAUAUAUCUUGAAUCAGAGGAGAGGGCUAGAUCAUGAUGCUGCAUACUGAACUGCAACUUUUGAAUUUGAUAUAUGUUUUGUUAAUUUUAGUAGUGUAUAGUACAUUGCAUAAGUCAGCAACUCGAAUUAGUGGGAAAAGACUUGGUUGUGGUUGUAUAACAUAUAAUAUAUAUCAUGCAUUCAUAGCAGAGGUUAAUGUAUUAGUCUUUUUGGUUAGCCAUUUUCUAUGUAGUUUUCAUGGUAAAAUUGUGCACUAGAAACACUUUUUUUUAUAAGACAAAUUUAUGGUGGUACCAUCUGAAC